UACGGGGGGGGCAAGCGUUGUUCGGAAUUACUGGGCGUAAAGGGCCAGUAGGCGGCCAACUAAGUCCGACGUGAAAUCCCCAGGCUCAACCUGGGAACUGCGUCCGAUACUGGAUGGCUUGAAUCCGGGAGAGGGAUGCAGAAUUCCAGGUGUAGCGGUGAAAUGCGUAGAUAUCUGGAGGAAUACCGGUGGCGAAGGCGGCAUCCUGGACCGGCAUUGACGCUGAGGAGCGAAAGCCAGGGGAGCAAACGGG
rnacentral:rRNA from 1 species